GUUCGGGGGCGGAUGACUUCAUGUGGUAGCGUAACAAAUGAAUACAUAGUAAAGAAAGCAAUACAACCAUCAUAUAUAAUUGAAAGUUUACAUUUGUCAAAAGUUACAUGUUCAAAACCAAUUACAAUAUGAUGUCAAAAUAUGAGAUUAAACUGGCGCCGCAACAUCCCUUCAUCAAAAGCAUAAUGAUACCUGAAAUUACUGAUUCCCUGGGACAUACAAGUAAUUUUGAAAGAGUAGAUCAGCAUUUAAGCUGGUGAGUUUCAUAAGUAUUUAAAUGACAAUGUUUGUAUGAAAUGAAAUGUUUUGUCUUUGUUUGUUUGUGUUUAGAAAAUCCUAUAUUUUCUACUAGUAUAAAAGUAGCCUUCACUCAAGACCAAUGUUUGUUUCUAANCAAAAUACGAGAUUAAACUGGCGCCGCAGCAUCCCUUCAUCAAAAGCAUAAUGAUACCUGAAAUUACUGAUUCCCUGGGACAUACAAGUAAUUUUGAAAGAGUAGAUCAGCAUUUAAGCUGGUGAGUUUCAUAAGUAUUUAAAUGACAAUGUUUGUAUGAAAUGAAAUCUUUUGUCUUUGUUUGUUUGUGUUUAGAAAAUCCUAUAUUUUCUACUAGUAUAAAAGUAGCCUUCACUCAAGACCAAUGUUUGUUUCCAAAAUGUAUGUAAGUGUAAAAUAACCAAUGUGUUUGAAAACCUUGUAAAUCAAUGCAUUUUUAAUACCCCUUGUGAGUUUUAUAACCAUACUAUUGACUCGGAAUGCCUAUACACAACGUUCUUCAGGCAUUGGAAUGUUAUGACGUUUGUCACCCCAAACGGUGGACUGCAGCUAACAGUCAGGGCGCGGGUUGUCAAGCCCGUAUAGAUCUAUACACAAACACCAUGCUCCCCCUCCAAGGGAUUCUGGUAUAUAAUACAGGACUUGAAAUGUGUACUCGAACGUACAUGAAGUUAGUGUCUCACAAAACCGUGGUAUAAAAACAGAUCUACUUGUUAAAAUGUUACGUUUGUUCUUGUAUACGAAAGUGACUUCUUGAAAUUCAUGUUUCUAGUACAUAAGAGUUAGAAAUUUGUUCGUAAAACUAUACCUAUUAUAGUUUUCUAAAAGUGUGUCUCGUUUGUUUAGAAAUACCUAGAAAAGGAAUCAUUUGUUAUGAAAGCAUAGAUUUUUGGUGUAGAGUCUAAGAUAGACAAGUAUACAUAAAAUCUAAGAAAAAUUUAGUUUAUACAUGCAUUACAACAGUUUAUAUUUCAACAGAU
rnacentral:lncRNA from 1 species